rnacentral:rRNA from 1 species
GACGAACGCUGGCGGCGUGCUUAACACAUGCAAGUCGAACGAUGAAGCCGGAGCUUGCUCUGGUGGAUUAGUGGCGAACGGGUGAGUAACACGUGAGUAACCUGCCCUUGACUCUGGGAUAAGCGUUGGAAACGACGUCUAAUACCGGAUACGAGCUAGGACCGCAUGGUCACUAGCUGGAAAGAACUUCGGUCAAGGAUGGACUCGCGGCCUAUCAGCUAGUUGGUGAGGUAACGGCGCACCAAGGCGACGACGGGUAGCCGGCCUGAGAGGGUGAACGGCCACACUGGGACUGAGACACGGCCCAGACUCCUACGGGAGGCAGCAGUGGGGAAUAUUGCACAAUGGGCGCAAGCCUGAUGCAGCAACGCCGCGUGAGGGACGACGGCCUUCGGGUUGUAAACCUCUUUUAGCAGGGAAGAAGCGCAAGUGACGGUACCUGCAGAAAAAGCACCGGCUAACUACGUGCCAGCCGCCGCCGUAACAC